rnacentral:piRNA from 1 species
GUAGUAAAAAUAGAGAACCAAGU